CCCAGCUGCGCGUUCCUGUUUCUGCACUUUCGUCCCUGGUUGAUAGUUGGCGCUGGGUCCUUGAUUGUCCUCCUGUAGAGUGGAUUUGGGGGGAUGGAGACUCCGCGCCUCACGGGAACUUCUGGAUCGUUUGUCUGGCCCCACUUGCAGCCGAACCGGAGAAAAGCCCCCGCGGCGGCCGUGGAAUGAGCCAGACUUGGUAAUGCCACCACAUUCAGAAGCCACCACAUGGUGUGACAGUUGGGAGUUUGGGCCAGUCUUGAAAAGAGCAAGGCAUGAGUGUCAUUCAAGGACGUGACUGUGGAUUUAACCCAGGAGUGGAAACACCUGGGCCCUGCUCAGAGUAUCCUGUACAGAGAUGUGAUACUGGAGAACUACAGCCACCUCCUCUCAGUGGAGUAUUGCUUUGGAAAACCAGAUGUGACCUUCAAUUUGGGGGAAGGAGAAGAUCCAUGGUUAUUAGAGGAAGAACGUCUAAAUAGGAACUACUCAGGUGAGUUACUGAGUACUAGAAGAAGGUAUCCAGGGAAAAGUAAAUCCAAAGUGAUCAGUUAUACGUAGGAAUUUUAAUUUUAAUUUUAUUUAUUUAUUGGCCAUGCCACAUGGCUUGCGAGAUCUUAGUUCCCCAACCAGGGAUCAAACCUGCACCCUUGGCAGUGAAAGCGUGGAGUCCUAACCCUGGACCACCAGGGAAUUCCCUAGGUGGGAAUUUUUAGAGACCUGUGUCUUUGGUAGUUUACAAAGAAUAGAUCCAGUACAAUGUGGAAAAUGAAGGUAUAACAUAACGAAUGCAGUACUAGCAUACUGAUUUUCUGAUCUUUAAAGGCUGGGAGUCCAAGUGUAUCAUUUACAACUGACAAACCAAGUUAUAGGAUUUUUAUUUAAUUGUAAAAUGAUAAACACUAAGAAAUAAUAGAAAAGGCACUAAAAUUGGGCAUUAAAUGAUGGUUAAGGAGAGAGAAGAAACACUGAUUUCAUCAUUGGUUCCAUAAUAUGGAAUUACUAGUUACUGUCUAAGUAAGUAGAAGAUUAAAAACUACACAAGUUUAUAAUUAUAAAAGUACCUACUAGAGCAAAAACACAGUCUUCCUAAUUUUUAGAAGAAAAAUUAACAGAGCCAUGAAAACAGAACUAUUAACUAAAAAGACUUAUUUUUUUUUUUUGC
rnacentral:lncRNA from 1 species